CCUACGGGGUGCAGCAGUGGGGAAUAUUGGGCAAUGGGCGCAAGCCUGACCCCGCAACGCCGCGUGAAGGAAGAAGGCUUUCGGGUUGUAACAUUCUUUUGACAGGGAGGCGUAGAAGACGGUACCUGUCGGAUAAGGCACGGCUAAAUACGUGCCAGCAGCCGCGGGCAUACGUAGGUGGCCAGCGUUGUCCCGGUUUACUGGGUGUAAAAGGCGUGUAGCCGGGUUAAAAAGUCAGAUGUGAAAUCCUGCGGCUUAACCGCAGAACUGCAUUUGAAACUGUUGAUCUUGAGUACUGGAGAGGCAGUCGGAAUUCCUAGUGUAGCGGUGAAAUGCGUAGAUAUUAGGCGGAACACCAGUGGCGAAGGCGGUCUGCUGGACAGCAACUGACGGUGAGGCGCGAAAGCGUGGGGAGCAAACAGGAUUAGAUACCCCGGUAGUC
rnacentral:rRNA from 1 species